rnacentral:rRNA from 1 species
CUCUGUUGUUAAAGAAGAACGUGGGUGAGAGUAACUGUUCACCCAGUGACGGUAUUUAACCAGAAAGCCACGGCUAACUACGUGCCAGCAGCCGCGGUAAUACGUAGGUGGCAAGCGUUAUCCGGAUUUAUUGGGCGUAAAGCGAGCGCAGGCGGUCUUUUAAGUCUAAUGUGAAAGCCUUCGGCUCAACCGAAGAAGUGCAUUGGAAACUGGGAGACUUGAGUGCAGAAGAGGACAGUGGAACUCCAUGUGUAGCGGUGAAAUGCGUAGAUAUAUGGAAGAACACCAGUGGCGAAGGCGGCUGUCUGGUCUGUAACUGACGCUGAGGCUCGAAAGCAU